UGUGUCAUGCGCGUGAACCCCGUAGGGCCGGGGAGGCACCAGCUGCCGCGCGGGGAGGAGGCCGAGGCCGCAGCUUGAGGGAGGCCCCGGCUCCUCUGCGCCUGUGUCUGGCAGAGCCAGUAUGAGACAAAGAGACAAUCCUUCCCUGCCGCCCGGAUAAUCAAGAGUUUUGGCCAGACCUUUGAGCACACACCUAGAGAGUGAGGAGCCAGACGAAAAGCACAGACUAUGGCGCUGAAACGGAUUAAUAAGGAAUUUAGUGAUUUGACCCGUGACCCUCCAGCACAAUGUUCUGCAGGUCCAGUUGGGGAUGAUAUGUUUCAUUGGCAAGCCACAAUUAUGGGACCUAAUGACAGCCCAUAUCAAGGCAGUGUAUUCUUUUUGACAAUUCAUUUUCCUACAGACUACCCCUUCAAACCACCUAAGGUUGCAUUUACAACAAGAAUUUAUCAUCCAAAUAUUAACAGUAACGGCAGCUUUUGUCUCGGUAUUCUAAGAUCACAGUGGUCUCCUGCUUUAACUAUUUCUAAAGUUCUUUUAUCCAUUUGUUCACUGCUAUGUGAUCCAAACCCAGAUGACCCCCUAGUGCCAGAGAUUGCACGGAUCUAUAAAACAGAGAUAAGUACAAAAGAAUAUCUCGGGAAUGGACUCAGAAGUAUGCCAUGUGAUGCUACCUUAAAGUCAGAAUAAUCUCCAUUAUAGCUGGAAUAAACUUUAAAUUACUGUUCCUUUUUUGAUUUUCUUAUCGGCUGCUCCCCUAUCAGACCUCAUCUUUUUUAAUUUUAUUUUUUGUUUACCUCCCUCCAUUCAUUCACAUGCUCAUCUGAGAAGACUUAAGUUCUUCCAGCUUUGGACAAUAACUGCUUUUAGAAACUGUAAAGUAGUUACAAGAGAACAGUUGCUCAAGACUCAGAAUUUUUAAAAAAAUGGAGCAUGUGUAUUAUGUGGCCAAUGUCUUCACUCUAUCUUGGUUAUGAGACUAAAACCAUUCCUCACUGCUCUAACAUGCUGAGGAAAUCAUCUGAGGGGGAGGGGGAGGGAGAUGGAUGCUCAGUUGUCACAUCAAAGGAAGCAGCAUUAUUCUAGCAUCCAGUCUUUUUUUAAGCCUUCCACUGUUAGAGAUUUGAGGUUACAUGAUAUACUUUAUGCUCAUAACUGAUGUGGCUGGAGAAUUGGUAUUGAAUUUAUAGCAUCAGCAGAACAGAAAAUGUGAUGUAUUUUAUGCAUGUCAAUAAAGGAAUGACCUGUUCUUGUUCUACAGAGAAUGGAAAUUGGAAGUCAAACACCCUUUGUAUUCCAAAAUAGGGUCUCAAACAUUUUGUAAUUCUCAUUUAAACUGUUAGGAGGCUUGGAGCUAUUAGUUAAUCUAUCUUCCAAUACACUGUUUAAUAUAGCA